rnacentral:rRNA from 1 species
GAUGAACGCUGGCGGCGUGCCUAACACAUGCAAGUCGAGCGAACAGACGAGGUGCUUGCUCCCCUGACGUUAGCGGCGGAUGGGUGAUUAACACGUGGAUAACCUACCUAUAAGACUGGGAUAACUUCGGCAAACCGGAUCUAAUACCGGACAAUAUAUUGAACCGCAUGGUUCAUUAGUGAAAGACGGUUUUGCUGUCACUAAUAGAUGGUUCCGCGCCGCAUUAGCUAGUUGGUAAGGUAACGGCUUACCAAGGCGACGAUGCGUAGCCGACCUGAGAGGGUGAUCAGCCACACUGGAACUGAGACACGGCCCAGACUCCUACGGGAGGCAGCAGUAGGGAAUCUUGCGCAAUGGGCGAAAGCUUGACGGAGCAAUGCCGCGUGAGUGAUGAAGGUCUUCGGAUCGUAAAGCUCUGUUGUUAGGAAAGAACAAAAGCGUAAGUAACUAUGCACGUCAUGACGGUACCUGAACAAAAAGCCACGGCUAACUACGUG